rnacentral:lncRNA from 1 species
ACGCUGGAUGCAGCGAGGAGACGCCGGCAUGAAGACAAUACCGACGACAAAAAGGACCAAAAAAACCUGCAAGUAAGUAGCGGAUUUGGGCAUUUGGAUAUUGAUUGCGUGAUUGGUUGGCUAGAACAGAGUAUGAGAUAAAUUGUUUGGUCAAUUGGGAGUAGUGGCUAUGGUGGAACUGCCUCGUCUGCAACAAUGUAGAGAUGGGUCAAGAGUCUAAGAACAAAUAUUGACAAGUAAAAAAUGGCCUUGUGUGCAAUGCUUUAGAAAUGAAUCAGGAGUAAGAACAAAUAUCGACCCUUAAUAAGGCACACACUGAAAAUAAGUACUACAAAGCCAAUGCAACAAUCUACCAAAAAACACCCUAGUCUUGCAUCCACCUCUCAAAUCACAAGCAGCUAGAAUGUCUGGCCAGAUGGGUUGUACAGAUAGUAGAAAUAAAUGGGUACAUCAUUUUACUCGGAACUAGAGCGGAGUUGUACAAGUGAAGCAUAUGCUCCAUCCUUGAUCUGCAUCAGUGCUUCAUGCUUUCCCUUUUCUGCAAUUAUUCCUUCCUUGAGGACUGCAAUCAUAUCAGCCCCUUUGAUUGUGGAGAGGCGGUGUGCCACUACAAUGGUAGUCCUGCUGACCAUGACUCGAUCCAGUGCAUCUUGAACAAUGCGCUCCGAUUCUGCAUCCAGAGCACUGGUUGCCUCAUCAAGUAGCAGUAUCUUAGGGUCCUUUAUGAUGGCCCUUGCAAUUGCUACCCGCUGUUUUUGCCCACCGGAUAGUUGCAUCCCUUUCUCACCUACCAUUGUGUCAUAUCCUUGUGGCAGGCUUGAUAUGAACUCAUGGGCGUUUGCUGCCUUGGCCACGGCCAUGACCUCUUCCUCAGUUACCUCGCCGUGUUUCCCAUAUGUUAUGUUUUUACGGAUUGUGUCAUUGAAAAGCACUGGCUCUUGGCCUACAAGCCCCAUCUGAUCCCUCAACCAGCUGACUUUUAAGCAUCUAAUUUCGACUCCAUCUAGUGAGAUAAUACCAGAAUCAGGAUCAUAGAAACGCUCUAAUAAAGCAAUUAUCGUGGACUUCCCACUACCGCUCUCUCCAACAAGUGCUAUGGUCUGUCCAAAAGGAAGAAAAAUCCUUUAAUCAUAACUAUUUUAGUGCACUAAAAAUGCUGAGAUGCUAAAAAUAAAGUGGCCAAAGUUGUGUAUCAGCAUAUAUAUGAUGUCAUGGAAGUGGAUGGGUCACAUCCAUUUUGAACCAUCUGCUAUUAGUUUUAUGUAAAUAGUUCAAUAAUCAAGUUGAUUUUCUGAUGGAAAUUUUGGGCAUGGCAAUAGUUGCGAGAAGCCAAGAAAUAGGAAAAAGGAAGACAAAUAGGUGCUUGUAGGAUCAUACCUUUUGGGAAGGAAUGUGCAAGGUAAAGUCACUGAAUAUUUGAACAUCAGGGCGUGAUGGGUACUUGAAACUGACAUUAUUGAAAUCAAUGCUGCCAGUGACAUUCUCCAUUAUCAUUCCCUCCUCGCUAUUUGAGUCAAUCUUGGACUUCCGGUUUAGAAUAUUAAAAAUGGAAAUGGCAGAAUCCCUUGCCUUUGUUGCAUCAGAAGACAAUGCACUUGACUGUGAAACACUUUUAGCUGCCAAACCUAAAGCAAAGAAAACCUGAAAAGUAUCCAGCUCAUUUAUGAAUGAUAAUAAAAUUAAAAUUCCUAGGUUACUGCUACUUGAAAUACUUUAGGAUUUCUUACUUUGAAAACAUCUGAAAAAGUAGAUUUUCCCUGACUUAUGAACUUUGCACCAACAUAGAAGCAAAUACUGAAAGUCAGAAAUAACAUCAAGGAUGAGAAACCAAAGCCAAUCCCUCCAACAAUUCCACUUCGAAUUCCCUGUUUUCUUAAAGCUUCACACUUAUUGUUGUACAUUGCAACCACUUUUUUCUCUGAGCAGAAAGAUGCUAUAGUUCUGAUGCUACCUACUGCUUCUGCGGCAACUUGGUUUGCAUCCUCAUACAUCUCCUGUAUAAUAAGAUCUUAUUAUCAAGGCAAUCAAUUUAAUUCAAGAAUCACUUGUGGAGAUCUUUCUCAAUAAAAUAACAAGCACAUUUUUACAGUUGUAAGUUUUAAUAUAUCACCUUAGAUUGCUUGCUAAAUCCCUUCAAGAACUUAACCUGGGCAUAGCCCUGUGCACCCAUUAAAGGAAUUACACAUGUGAUGAUCAGUGCAAGCCUCCAAUCUGCUGCAAAAGCUAUGACAAAGCCAGUGAUUAAUGUAGCUGUAGCCUGGACUAUAAGGGCCAGGUUAUCUCCUACUAAAUGCCGGACAUUCAAUGCAUCGACUGAGAGCCUUGUUCCAAGUGCCCCACUGUAAAAAAUAAAAUGGCCUCUGAGCACUGGAGUAAAUAUAUGUUUAUAGAAGAUAAAAUGGUAAAAGUGCAUCUGAGUAUCACACCUGGAAUUUGAUGGGUUGUCAAACCAAGCGACCUCUUGGUGCAUAAUCCUUUGAAAUGACAGUGUGCAGACACGCUCUAUAAGCUUUCCACCAGCAAUUCCAAAAAAAUAAUAUUCUACUGGUAUUGAAAUAAAACAAGCAACCCCCAGAACAACAAACAUCAAUGCCCAAAAUCUAGAAUCUUUUUGCAGCUUAUCUGGUGGUUCAUAGAAAGAUUUUAGAACACCUGGCAUUAUUAUACCAAAUAAUGGGAAAAUGACUCCAUGCACUGAAGCUGCUAUGGAACCUAGCAGAAGAACUGGCACUUCUGGCCUAUUAAGAUUAAAAAGCCAUCCAAUUGGUGUUUUCUUAACGGCCUCACUGUCCGAGUGCUCUACCUUUUGUUGUUCGCUUGUGAUUUUGUCCUCAUCUAUAUCUACAGGCAAUCCUAAGGAAUUCUUCAAGGAAUACGUACUGCUCUUGCUGAGAGAAUCUUUAGUUCUUGACCGUCUGAAUGACACACUAGUACUUUUUGAUCUGGAAUGUGGUAGUUUAUGCCUUUCACCACGCAGCCUAACCAGCUGGGAGUAAGCCCCAUUGGGAUCCUUCACCAGUGCAUCAUGAUGACCUGUGUAUACAGGAUAUGUUUUGGGAUAAUGAAUCAUUUAAGUUUGAUAAUAGAAAACUUAUGUAAUUAAAAAAUUAGUGCAUUUUCAAGUUAAUUCAACCUUGUUCAACUAUUUUUCCUUGCUGGACGACUGUGAUGCAAUCUACAUUCCUCACAGUGCUCAAGCGAUGAGCGACAACGAGUUUGGUUCUUUGUACCAUCAUUCUAUUUAGUGCCUCCUGAACUAUCCUCUCAGACUCCACAUCAAGUGCACUUGUUGCUUCAUCUAGCAAAAGGAUUUUUGGAUUUUUAAGGAUGGCUCUUGCAAUUGCAAUUCUCUGUUUUUGUCCUCCAGAAAGCUGAGCACCGCGCUGGCCAACUAAUGUAUCAUAACCCUGGUAUGACAUGCAAACAUUUUUAGUUGAUUAUUUCAGUAACAUACAGUUUAAUUCAGUUACUGUUUCCUUUCUUACAUUAGGUAACUUGUCAAUGAAAUUUGCUGCAUUUGCAAGCUUGGCAGCUCUCUUGAUCUCUUCAAGUGUUGCAUCCUCUUUACCAUAUGUUAUGUUAUCUUUAAUGGAGGUCAUAAAAAGCAGAGGUUCUUGGCUAACAAGACCGAUCUUCCCUCUUAUCCAGUCAAGUCUAAGUUUCUUGAUGCUAAUUCCAUCUAUCAAAACUUCGCCUGACUGUGGAUCAUAGAAUCUUUCAACUAGGCUGAUUACUGUUGACUUGCCACUUCCACUCUCUCCAACUAUAGCCAUUGUUGUUCCACUCGCUACUUGUAAUGACAAUCCAUCCAAUAUCAACUUCUCAGGUCUUGCAGGGUAGUGAAAGUACACAUCCUUUAGCUCAAUAUCCCCAUUCAUAUCUUCUAAAACCAUCCCAAUGUUAUCAUCUGAAUCUAUAUUUGGCUUCCUCUCAAUUGUUUUGAACAAGUGUAUGCUGCAGAUUGACCUUCAACUACUGCAGCGAAUGCAGGUAUUGCAUCACCUAAUGAGCUGUCACAAACAAUUCAAAAGUGCCAUUUUCAGAAUAUUAUCAUACCAUAUCCAAUGAUAAAAUUAUAAUGAUCCCUUUGUUGUUUCACACAAAGAUGCUGAUUGAACUCUUGCACGUCCAGUUUGUUGAGUAAACAGUUAUAGAAAGAAAGCAAUUCACAUUUAACUAUUGAGGUCUUACAAUUCAUAGCUAGUUAGUUGGUGGGUUAUACGCAUGUGCGAAACGUACAUCUUUCAGCUUAAUGUGUUAUUUAGGACAAAUAGCAAGUUAUGCAGGUAAGUCAAUGAAAUCCAAUGCAAUUGUAUACAUAUGAUAUAUAAUGUACUUCUCAGGUCAAUAUAGCAUUUGUAUAGUUUUGCUGUUAGCGCAGAACAUAUCGAUUAAACCCACUCUUGCAAUUGCUAAUGGUACCCUGCUUUAUAUAUUAGGUACAUACGUCUAUUCUUACUUCAUUAUGCCUUUUAGUAACUGGAUAAAUAACUAGUAGAUAUGUCUGCCUAAAAUGGUUAUGGAACCAAGUGAUUUGAGCUUAUAAUCAAACUUUAAUUUCAGUCCAUACUGUUUACAAGAAACAUAUUAAUUUCAUGCACCGACAAUUAGCAUUUUGUAAAUAGUAAUUAAUAUAUUGAAAGUAAUUCAAGGUAAUACUGUAAAUCAUCUUGAAAGCCUGAAAUUUAUUACUAAAAAAAACUUAGAAAGGAACACAAGCGCCGUGUGCACUUAUAGAAAUUGCAUGGUUAUAGAAAACGGCCUUCUUGAUUAUGAAGUAAUGGAAUUAUCUUGUUAUAUUUCCUUCAAUUCAAAUUAUACAUGAAUAGAUUUGAGGCUCAUGAUUAUACUAAUGGGCAUGUAUUUUGGUAUCACCAGUGGAGUUUUCACUGACAGGAUUGCCGAAACUUACGUUGCACCGGUUAACACGGUAAACAUGAUGGUAAUGAUCCUUCCUCCCGUGUAACCUUUCUCAACGAUUAGCUUUCCACCGUACCAGAAGGCUAAUCCAUAGCUGCCAAAUGUGAUGAACAACAUACAGCCCAUGCCAAAGCCUGUGAUAAUGCCUUCCUCGAUGGUAGUCUUGUAUGCCUUUUUUAUGAAAUUACUGUACAUUGCUAUCGCCUUCUUCUCACUGUUGAAGGACACAACCUGCUAACACGAGAUAUUUAUCAAACUUGUCUGCUAAUCCAAGAAAAAAGGAGACUGUCCUGUAAUAUUAUUAAACAAUUAAUAUAUUGUGAACUCACUGUUCUUAUAGAUCCAAUGGUCUGUUGAACUGUGUCCCCAGCAUCACUAUAUGAUGUUUGUCUCUUGCCAGAAACUCUAGUUAGGGCCUGUGCAAAAACUGCUCCGGCAAUAGCAAUUAAUGGUAGCGAUGUUAGCAUGACAAGAGUGAGCAGCCAUCCUCUUGCGAAUGCUAUGAUAAAGCUGCCAAUGAAGCUUGACGACAGUUGUACAAGCUUCCCUGCCUGUAAAGGGCAAGUUUAAGAAUCCAAGAACACAUCAGCAACCACAAGAUGCACCUUACUGCCUGAUUAUAAGAGAUAAUACACUUCGUUAAUAUGAAAACUUAUCCUUGUUAUAUAUAUUUUCCUAAAUAUGCAAAUAAUUAUGCGUGCCAUCAACUUAUGUGUCUCCACACUUUUGUCUUCACUGUGAUGAAAAUAUAUGUUUUUCAGUAGCAGUUUAGUAAAUAUUAUGUUCCUUACAAGGAGUUAGGUAUCCAGUACUCCAUUCUAUAUUGUACACCUUUUUUUUGCCAUGUCUAUUUUUAUCCCUGGAUCAAUGUCUAUAUUUUAUAUUUGUGUUUAUAUUCAUUAGUUUUCAUUUGAAUUUGUGAAAAAUCUAGAACAUCUUAUAAUGUUAAACGGAGCUAAUAUUACCUUCUCACCAAGACCACCUUGAAUCAUGAGGGUAUCACUAGACAUUCUAGAAACUGCUUCGCCGGUUGUCAUCUCUGUGUCAAAGAAUGCAAUAUCCUGCCUCAGAACUGCUUUCAGGUAUAAAGAACGGAUGCGGGCAGACUGCCUUUCUCCUGCCAUCGUCCAGCAUGACAUCUCUGGGACAAAUCAAGGUGAGCCCUUUUACUUGCAGUUGUAGCAGUAGAGUGUGAUAUACUCACUCUGAUCCUAAAUGAAUGUCAUUUUAGCCUUCUUAAUUCUUUGAUAAAUAUAAAUAGUUGUUUUCAAUUAUUGUGCCAAAAUCUAAAACGACAUAUAUUUGGGAUCAGAAGGUUUUAACUGAACAUAUUAGAUCAAAGAUUCUGAGAAUUAUAUGGUUAGGGAAUGAAGUUGGUACUUCUCAAGGGAUGAGUUCAUGAUGAUGUUUUACUAUGCUAGUGUAUCACAGUUGAGAAUUGCACCACUUGGAAUGCCCUCCCUUCCACCCAAAGAACUGUAUUUUUCACCUAUCAUAUUCAUACCAAUAUAAAAGCAAAAAGACUAGAAUAUCCUCUACUUUAUCAAGUCAUAAUACAAUUGUCUUGAACUUUACCAAAUUUCAAUGCACUUGUUUCCUUUUUUUCACAAAUGCUAGUGCAACGGUUGAUCAAAGAUGAAACUUAUUUUGGACAAAACAGCAUGGGAUAAGAAUGAUCUUAUUUAUUAACUGAAAAGUAGGAUGUUAAUAAUGAAUAUUGUGUUUUGGUGAUCGCCCAUCCAUGCAAGAACAGAGUAAUUACUUGUCCUAAUUACACACGAUAUAUCCUACAAAAUUCUUAUUGACUUGUGGAUACUCUGAAAUCCUAUUAAUAGAAGUCUUACUUUAUGCUUUGGAGUCUAAUGAAGGAAUAGGAAAAAAAUAGAUAUUGAAAGACUUCUGAAUACUGUUUUCCUAUAAAUUCCCUUUCUGGGUACUAUGUAUUUUUCACAUCCAUAAUCUAAGAUUCUAAGCUACAGGUUCCAGUCUUUUUUCUCUUUUUCAGCGAAAGGGGCAGGAAUUGUCAAAUGCAUUAGAUUAUUACAAACUUACAAUCAAUCAAAAAUAGAAUAGGCGUCUCGUCUUUUCAGUUAUGCUUAUACUUAUAAGCCAAAAUUUAAAUUUAGAGUUUGUUUUUGAGAUUUUUUAUCGUAGUUUAUUUAUCAGCAUUUUCUUUUAGGUCUAAUAACAUGUAUAUAAAAAUUCUAUCCAUAAAUUAUUUUUUAAAAUUGUUAAUAGGUGGUUUUCCUUAUACUUCUUAAAAGCCAAAUGACGAGGCUGUAGGACCAUACAUCUCUCUUUUACUUACGGAGAAAGGAGGCAACUAACGUUCCAAUGCCCAGAUAUAUGAAGUUCAAGACAACCUGGAGGCCAGAGGAAGAAGAAGAUCCAGCGUUAAAUUUGUCACACCAUCACUGAUCGAGCGGCACCGGCACGGCACAGUCAC